rnacentral:lncRNA from 1 species
UACCCCGGGUCUCGUGAUCAAAGUCUGUGUAAUUUGGAAUUGAUAAAUUUUUAUUUUUUGAAUCCAUUUAUACAAUAGUGGUGUAGUUAAAUGUUUUUAAAAUUUUGAUGAUAUUAUCCGUAGACUUAACGUAGAAUAUUUGACUUUUAUUUUUGGGAGAUCAUAAUUACCGUAGACUUAAAUGGAAAUAUCAAAUUUUAUAUAAGUGGACUCGAAUCUUUUCUUAUUGUCUACGUACCCGAACCUAGGAAUUAAAAUCAUGGUAGUUCUAAAUUGAUAGAUUUGGUUUU